AUGGACCUGUUUCUAAUAAUAAAUUAAAUAUAAAUUGUGAAUUUAUAAAAAAUUUUAUU
rnacentral:tRNA from 1 species